CCUACGGGCGGCUGCAGUAGGGAAUCUUCCGCAAUGGACGAAAGUCUGACGGAGCAACGCCGCGUGAGUGAAGAAGGUUUUCGGAUCGUAAAACUCUGUUGUUAAAGAAGAACAAGGAUGAGAGUAACUGCUCAUCCCCUGACGGUAUUUAACCAGAAAGCCACGGCUAACUACGUGCCAGCAGCCGCGGUAAUACGUAGGUGGCAAGCGUUGUCCGGAUUUAUUGGGCGUAAAGCGAGCGCAGGCGGUUCUUUAAGUCUGAUGUGAAAGCCCCCGGCUCAACCGGGGAGGGUCAUUGGAAACUGGAGAACUUGAGUGCAGAAGAGGAGAGUGGAAUUCCACGUGUAGCGGUGAAAUGCGUAGAUAUGUGGAGGAACACCAGUGGCGAAGGCGACUCUCUGGUCUGUAACUGACGCUGAGGCUCGAAAGCGUGGGGAGCAAACAGGAUUAGAUACCCUGGUAGUC
rnacentral:rRNA from 1 species